GGCUAACAUAAACUCAUAUAAAUACAGUUAAAGCAGAAAUCUCUCAUGGUUUAUGAAAAGUGACAAUCGUGCCCUACAGCAAUAUUAGAUUUAAGCCUCAAAUUGAAGCAAUUCUAACAUACAUUACGCUAUCUUCAUUAUCUUACUUCUCUGCUAUAUGUUGUACAUUUCCAUUAUGUGGUAGGCAACAUUAGGAAAAACAGGGUCCCAAAACCUGCUCUAAAAAUAACCUAGACAUUGUGUACUGCAGCUUCUAACGCUCCCACCAUUGACUGUGGAUGACUAGGGCAAUCUGGAUUAACAUCUGAAGAGCUUCUCUGGCCCCUUCUACACGGCCAUAUACCCCACAUUAUCAAAGCAGAUAAUCUAUAUUCUUUGAAGUGAAUUAUAUGAAUCUAUGCUGCCAUAUAAUCCAGUUCAAAGCAGAGAAUCUGGAUUUUAUAUGGCAGUGUAGAAAGGACCUCUGUUCUCAUCCUUGACCUAAAUCCAAUUGUUAGUCUUAACUACAAUGGAAUCAAUGGGAACUUGAUAAGUCUGUUUAUUCAAACUCUACUUGAGUUGAAGCUAACCAUUGGAUUUAGGUCUAAAUAUUUUUGAUGGAGCCCCCAGUGGCACAACAGGUUAAACCACUGAGCUGCUGAACUUGCUGACCGAAAGGUCGGUGGUUCAAAUUUGGGGGAUGGGGUGAGCUCCCACAGUUAGCCCCAGCUUCUGUCAACCUAGAAUUUUGAAAACAUGCAAAUGUGAGUAGAUCAAUAGGUACCACUCCGGCAGGAAGGUAACGGUGCUCCAUGCCAGCCACAUGACCUUGGAAGUGUCUAUGGACAAUGCCGGCUCUUUGGCUUAAAAAUGGAGAUGGGCACCAUCCUCCAGAGUCAGAAACGACUAGACUUAAUGUCAGGGGAAAACCUUUCCCUUUACUUAUUUUUGAGACGUAAUGGUUAAGGCACACUUUAGAUUUUUCAUAGACUGUAAUUCAUAAAGUCUAUUUUUACUGGCUAGAAAGUUUAUUAAUGACCCCUGUCCCUAAUUUCUCCUUUUUAUCUCACACUGAUAUGUCAGUAUUAAAAGAUGUAAAGUGCAGACAUAUGAAUUCGAAGGUGUUGUGCCAUAUAUCUUUAAAUAGGGGAACAUUAGCAAAUUUCUAAGGGAGUAGUUAUCUCUACCAAGGGAAACAAGGCUGCCAAGUUUUGGGAUAAAAUAUUCAGGGAGCUUAGUGUCAAACCAACGUUUGCAAAUAAGAGGUUACCAAAAAUAAAAAUGUGUUUCUACCCAUUUAGAACGAAUGCAGUUUGACACCACUGUGAACCUUGUCACAUAGGGAUAUAAUCUGUUUAUAUCAGUAUUUUUUAGGACUGGAUGCAUACUGUAUUGCGAUGGGAUGCAUACUCCCCUCAUUGCUCGUGAUUAUUACGAUUAUUAUGAUUUGAAAAUACAGUAGAGUCUCACUUAUCCAACAUAAACGGGCCGGCAGAAUGUUGGAUAAGUGAAAAUGUUGGAUAAUAAGGAGGCACUAAGGAGAAGCCUAUUAAACAUCAAAUUAGGUUAUGAUUUUACAAAUUAAGCACCAAAACAUCAUGUUAUACAACAAAUUUGACAGAAAAAGUAGUUCAAUACGCAGUAAUGCUAUGUAAUAAUUACUGUAUUUACGAAUUUAGCACCAAAAUAUCACGAUGUAUUGAAAACAUUGACUACAAAAAUGCCUUGGAUAAUCCAGAACGUUGGAUAAGCGAGUGUUGGAUAAGUGAGACUCUACUGUACUGCGCUUUGACUCAUCACACCAUAGAAGGCUGGCUCCUCCCAAUCCAUUCAAAACACCCCUUACAUCACACUAUGACUUUUUAAAAAGUAUUGUUGCUGAUGGGAUGGAUGCAGACAGAUUUUCCUAUCCCUCACCAAAACAGUGCUUCAGAAUCCAUAGUAUCUCAAAAAACACAAUUAGGGGGACUUCCGGUUUGGCGAGAUGGCGACGGGGUGGACUCCUUGAACGCUCUCAAGGAGCCAGCCAAGCAAAGCGACCGGGUAGAGCGCAGAGCUCCCUCUCCCUGACGGAUCGAGAUCAGGGAGACAGCCAAACCCACAGGGCGCCAACCGAUGGUCUGGAGACCCUCACUCCUCAAGAGUGGGGGCCAGGAAAGACCCGGACUGGUUGCCCGCAGGGUGUGCGGGUUGCAGCAAGGCGAUCCAGACCCAAGACGUCUGGGGCUACCGUCGAAACUCGCCUGAUUUUAACUUCAAGAAAGAAGAUCUGGAAAGAAGGUACGGAAAAGAAAAUAUCAAUUCUUUAUAUUGUCAAAAGGACUCUACCCUUAGAAACAAGAAGGGGAAUUUGAAGAAUAAAAUCUUUCUUUUUGAUAUAAAAUUAUUUCAAAAGAGAAAGAGGACAGGAAGAGGACGGGAAGAAACGAACUCUUCUAUACCCAUACCCCCCGUACCUCAAAGGCUACAUCAUUUCAAACUAAAAAGCCAAAGAAUUAAAUUAAAGAAUUAAAUAAGAAUAAAAUAAGAACUUUAAGAAUUCAUAAAUAAAAGGACAUUACCAGAGUAAAUCAACAAAACGCUGGUCAGAGGUUUGGCGACCUUGAAGAUAAGUUUGUUUGGUCUACGGCGGCCAGCUUACCAAAAACAAAGAUUGGGAGAUAGCAGCGCGUGAGGAGGAAGUGUGCCCGGGUGGAGGAAGAGUCCCUCCCCUCAGAACGGACGGAAUUCAACUACCCACUGACCAUAGAGAGGCGGAAGACAGGAGAAAGAGCCGGCAAUAGAAGAAGGAGGGAGGACGUGACGACAGGGAGAAAGGAGAACACAGAGACAGGAAACAAAGAGAACCAUGAUCCAAAGGUAAAGGAGACUGAGAAAAAGGAUGAAAGGACUGCUAAGAUACAUCUAGGAAGAUUGGGGAAAAGAAUAGGGAAAGAAAAGAAACGAAAAGAGACCAGAGCGACCACGGAUAUAAACCAGCAAAGGGAAAGGCAGGGAAACCAGAUAGGGACGAUCACCAAAGGAAGGAAGAAUAAGACAGAGAGACAUAGGCACAGGAGUGUAUUUAGAGGCAGGCUCACAAGUAAACAUUGAAGGUGGAAGAUAGAACCUGAAUAGGAGAGGCGGGAGAGAGGAUUAAGAAGGAGACAACAGCAUCAAAGAGGGCUCAAUUCGAGACCAGGAAAAGGCAAGAGUGAGAUAAGAGGGAGAUAAGGAAGGUAACAUAACGGGGAUAGAUUAAAGAGGAUCAAAGAAGAAGGGGGAUUAAAAGGGGAUUUGAGGGAAAGGGAGAAGGAAAGGGAAAGAAGAAAAGAGGGGAAGGGGAAAAGAGAAGAAGAAAAGGGGAGGAAAGGAAAAAAAAGAGAAAGGAAAAAAAAACCUAUUCGGUGGGGAGAGUCAAAGUUAGAGAUCUGUCAAAUAUAAACAUAAUGAGCACAUUUAGAUUCAAAACAGACACCAAAGAUACUAAAGAAAAAGGAUUACAAAGGAGAAUGUCUCUUACGGAAGAAUACAGCCUAAAAGACGUUAUGAAGGAGGUGAAGGAAGUUAUGAAAGAGAUUCAGAAAGUGGCAGAGAAGCAAGACGCCUAUCAAAAGAUGUUCCAAGACCAAAUGCUGACCAUGAAGAAUGAAAUUACGGAAGAACUGGGGGAUAUGAAAAAAGAUAUAAACAAUCUUAAACAGGAGAUCCAGGAGAUCAAACAGGAAAAACAAAAACAGGAGAAGACAUAUGCUAAAACUCAAACUAGAAUGGAAAAUUUGGAAAAUCAAAAUCAAAAAUUAGAAGCGAAACAAGAAUGGAUGGAGCAAAAAAACCUUGAAUUUCAACUAAGAUUCAGGAAUAUAGAAGAAGAAGGCAAAGAAAACAUAAGGGACUUAAUAAUACAAUUAACAUCCAAACUGACACAAACUGAAUAUGAAGACAUGGAUCCAGAGAUAGACAGGACCUAUAGAAUAUCUACCAACUACGCUAGAAGAAACAAAGUCCCAAGAGACGUAAUCAUUCAUUUUACCAGGAAGAAAAUUAGAGAUGAUAUAUUAAGAGAAAAUAGCAACCAACCGAUAUACUACAAGGGAAAAAGGAUAGCGAUUUUAAAAGAAUUCCCACCAUCAAUUUUGAUUAAAAGAAGAAAAUACAUGUUCCUAACUGAAGAAUUAAAAAGAAGACAAAUAAGAUUUCGCUGGGAGAAACCAGAAGGGGUCAUGGUGACAUACAAAGAGGAAAGAUUUUGGAUCACUAUGGAAGAAAAGGCGAGAGACUUCUUCGAAAGAAUAAAGAAAGAUACUGAAGAUGUACCCUCUACAGAAAUGGAGAAAAAGAGUAAGAAAGAUAAAAAGAGAAUAAGAGAAGAAUCCCCCGAAUUAGAAAAUCCACCAGUAGGAAUGGAACCCCCAAACUUGGAUGAUAUUGAAGAAGAACCGCAAGAUGGCCAAGAGAGGAUGUAAUUUGGAGAGAACUGUAAGAUUUUACUCAAACAACAUAAAUGGAUUAAAUUCUCCAAAUAAAAGAAAUAAAGUAUUUCACAAUAUUAAAAAAGGAGGCUAUGAUAUUGUGGCUUUCCAAGAGACACACAUCUGCCAGAAACAUGUCUCCCACUUAACAUACAAACACUUAGGGAAAGAAUUUUACUCUGCAUCAAUUGAAAAAAAGAGGGGGGUGGUCUUAUAUGUAAAGGAGUGGAUCCCGGCGGAAUUAGCAUUUAAGGACAACGAAGGGAGAAUCCUAGGAGUUUCCGUAUACAUUGAAAACAAGAAAAAUUUGAUCUGCAACAUAUACGCACUAAAUGGGUUAAAAAUAAACUUCAUUAAAAAAUUAAAUGACUUAAUUUUGAAACAGGAAUUCGAGAAUCUAAUUAUACUCGGGGAUUUCAAUGGGGUUCUAAACACAGAGUUGGAUAAAACAAGAAAAAGCAAUAGAAAUAACAAGAAGCGUGGAAAUGGAACUUUACCAAAGAACUUUAUAAACUUUCAACAAGAAUUUAAUCUACAAGAUGUGUGGAGAUCCCACCACCCCCUAGAUAGAGACUAUACAUUUUUCUCUGAUAGGCACCAAGUAUGGUCGAGGAUUGAUAUGGUAUGGGCAUCAAGCUAUCUCAUAACCAAAAUAACAAAAAUAGAAAUCUUAACUAGAAAUCACUCAGACCAUAGCCAAAUUCAAUUUACAAUCAAUGAAACACGAAGGACAGGGAAAUGGAGACUGAACGAUAUAUUGCUUAAAUCCGAGGAGGACAUCAAGAAGAACAGGCUCAUUCUAAAAGAAUAUUUCCAAAUAAAUGACACUCCAGAAGUAAAUAUACAAACAAUCUGGGACGCCAGUAAGGCGGUCAUGAGAGGAUACUUUAUCAGACAGAAUUCAUGGAGAAAUAAAUUAAGAAACCAAAAACUGAACAAAAUACAAGAACAGAUAAUAGAAACAGAAACCAAGUUUAAAAAAUCUCCCAAAAAUCAAAAAUUGACAAGGGAUAUAGAACUUCUAAAAUUACAGAAAAGUAAUAUAGAAUUAGAACAAUUGGCGAAGAAAUUGAAAUUUGUAAAACAAGACCACUUCCAAAACGCAAACAAGCCUGGUAAGUGGCUUGCAAAGAAAAUUGGAAGGAAAAAACAAAGACAAUAUAUAACGAGAAUCGAGGAUGGGGAAAAACAUUAUUAAACGGAUAAAGAAAUAUUAAGACAAUUUGAAACCUUUUACAAAACCCUUUAUAAGAAGGAUCAAAUAAAAAAAGAUGACAUAGCACAAUAUCUAAGUAAAAGGAAGCUGGAAAAAAUUUCAGAAGAGCAAAGAGAACGGCUAAAUGAAUCUAUUGAGGAGGAAGAGAUCAAGAAGGCGAUUCAAAAAAUGGACCCCAACAAAGCCCCCGGCCCAGAUGGGCUUACUGUGAUGUACUACAAAACAUUUGAGGAAGAACUCCUACCAUACUUGAAGAAACUGAUGAAUAAGAUAACAAAUGAAGGCAAACUCCCCAACACAUGGAAGGAAGCUAAUAUAACAGUUAUCCACAAAGAAAAAACAGAUCCAACAAAUGUUAAAAAUUAUAGGCCCAUCUCUCUCUUAAACAUAGACUAUAAGAUUUUCACCAAUAUUCUAGCGGACAGAAUGAAAGAAUUUCUAAAGAAUUGGAUUCAAGAAGAACAAACUGGAUUCCUCCCCAAUAGACAACUAAGAGAUAAUGUCAGGACAAUCGUGGACAUAAUCGAAUAUUAUGAGGCCAAUAAUGAGAAAGAAUUAGCCCUGCUUACGGUCGAUGCAGAGAAGGCCUUCGAUAACAUCAAUUGGAACUUUUUCAAAAUGUUAAUGAGAGAACUUGAUUUAGGCUACAAAUUCUUAAAUGCAAUAAAUGCAAUAUACGAAGAUCAAACUGCAAAAAUUUGGAUUAAUGGACACCCAUCAAAAGAGAUAAAGAUAAACAAAGGAACUCGACAGGGAUGCCCCCUCUCUCCUCUUAUCUUUAUUUUUACUCUAGAAAUCCUUUUGAAUACAAUAAGAAACGAUGCAAGUCUUAAAGGGACAAAAAUAAGAAAUAUGCAUUACAAAACAAGAGCGUUUGCGGACGAUUUGAUCUGCAUCAUAGAAAACCCAACAGAAAAUAUUAAAAAAUGGCUCCAUGCUAUAGAAGAAUUUGGUACGGUAGCAGGUUUCAAAAUAAAUAAAAGUAAAUCGAAAAUGUUGACAAAAAAUAUAACUAAGAAAGAUCAAGAGAGACUCAAAGAAAUCUCGGGGCUGCAGAUCUCAAACAAAAUCAACUAUUUAGGAAUCACUAUCUCUCCUAAAAAUGCCCAACUACUCAAAAAUAACUACGAGGCGAAAUGGUUAGAAAUAAGAAGACAAUUAGAAAAUUGGAAGAAUUUAAAUUUAUCAUUAUUAGGUAGAAUAUCGGCAAUUAAAAUAACAUAUUACCAAAAAUGCUAUACCUGUUCCAAAACCUACCAAUUAUUAGAAACAUGGCUAUUUUUUAAAAAUGGGAAAGAGACUUGUCCAAAUUCAUUUGGCAAGGUAAAAAAGCUAGAAUCAAAUACACAAAUAUAAUUGACGACACAAGAAGAGGAGGUCUAGGCAUGCCAGACCUAAAAUCCUACUACGAGGCAUGUGCGCUACUAUGGGCAAAAGAUUGGAUGACUCUAAAAAGAGAAAAAAUCCUAACUUUGGAAGGGUUCAAUCUACGAAUUGGCUGGCAUGCAUACCUCUGGUAUGGAAAAACGAAGAUAGAAAAAAACUUUGGAAACCAUUUCGUAAGAUCGUCUAUCCUGAAAAUUUGGGACAAAUACAAACUAAGAAUAUACCCAAAAACCCCGCUCUGGAUCUCCCCGCUCGAAGCAGGGCAAAGAAGAUUAUUGGGCUGGGAGAGAUGGCCCACAUAUAGAGACAUUUUAAGACAGAAAAAUGGAAAGAAUGAAAUGAAAUCUCAAGAAGAAAUUAAGGUAAAUUUCUCCAAUAUCUCAUGGUUCCAAUCCCGACAACUAAGAGAAUACUAUAAUAAAGACAAGAAGGAGGGAUUUAUGGACAAAGAAACCUUCUGGGACAGAAUUAUGAACUCCGAGAAAAAAUUGAUAACAAAGACUUAUAAGAAAAUCCUAGAAUGGCAAACGGAGCAAGAAACAGUAAAAGAAUGCAUGAUAAAAUGGGCACGAAAUAUAGGAAGAACAAUUAUGAUGGAAGAGUGGGAAAACCUAUGGAACAAAAGACUAAAACAGAUGUACCCAUACGACUUGAAGGAGAAUAUAAUCAAAAUGUUCCACAGGUGGUAUAUAACACCAAAAAAAUUAAGUCUUAUAAACAAAUCUCUAGACACGGCCUGUUGGAAAUGUAAGAAGGAGCAAGGGACAUUCUACCACAUGUGGUGGACAUGUGGAAAAGCUAAAAAAUAUUGGAAAGAAAUUCACGAGUCAUCCCAAAAAAUUCUGAAUCUAAAAUUCCAAAUGAGACCAGAACACAUCCUCCUCGGAAUGACAGACAUAAAAUUUAAAGAAAACGACGAACUCCUACUCAACUAUUUGCUAACUGCAGCGAGGAUCAUCUUUGCGAAGAAGUGGAGACAAGAGGAAAUACCGAGCGUAGACGAAUGGCUGAUAAAAGUAAUGGAAAUCAAGAAUAUGGACAGACUAACAUACCUAAUAAAGAAACAACAAGGUUUACCAAAGAAAUGUACAGAUUGGCAACCAUUUUUGAACUUUAUGAAUAAAGAAAAGAAACAUAUUAUAAUUUAACAUUAAGAAUAUUCAGAUGAGGGCUAGAACAAUAAGAAAGAUAUGAAAACCCAGGGAAGCUAAAAUAUAAAUAUGGAACAAUAAACAUUGGAAGUGAUCCAGGACGGAUCGAAGACAAUAUGGAGAGGGAUGGAAGUCAACAAUUUUCUGUUUUUAAACUUCCCUUCCUUUUUCUCUCUUUUUUUUCUUUUUCCUUUCCUUUGUUUCCUCUUCUUCCUCACCCAUCUAUUUUCAAAUAGAUUCAAACUAUCCAAUUUCCUACUUUCCUAUCAAACACAAUGUUCUCCCACUUUUAAUGUAUCUAUCUAGAAAAUAAAAAUAAAGUUUUUUUUAAAAAAAAAACACAAUUAGAAUUCGAUCUGCAAAUAAUCCGUUUCUGCAACAUUUUGCAGACGGAAUACUGACGGGAUGGGGCAAACGUCCUGUGAUGGGAUCCAUUCGAAAUCAUUCUCAAACAGUCUCAGAAACAGAGUAUUUCCUAAUGUGAUAAGGUCCUUUGACUGCAAGGCUCAAUGCUAUGGGAUCUUCAGAGUUGGGUCUUUGGCAGAGAAGGCUGGCCACUCUGCAAACAAAAAGCUGGAGUUGGUGGCAUUCUUCAGUGCUCAUCUAAUAUUUACAUGUUCUCAUUAUGUACAGCUUUACGUGGAUAAAUGAUGUUGAAAGGUUUCAUUAGACAUGAAAAGGUGACGCUAAAGAUACCACGUGGAAAAUACACAGAGGCUAGGGCAGGCCUGGGCAAACCGGCUGUUAGGAAUUGUGGGAGUUGGAGUCCAAAACACCCAGAGGGUCCAAGUUUGCCCUAGGCUAGGGCCAUAAUCUUUGGUUCUCAUAAUAAGUAAGUACCUCAAGGUAUAGAUUCUUUGUACUAAUUUUUUUAGUUUGUUUUAAUAUUGUAUAGAAAGCUACAGUUGUAUCUAAAACCUUGAAAGGUGCCGACCUAUACUGGGUUCUCCAGCCACCAAUGACUCAGGAGCCUGAAGCAUUGCAUGAAGGAAAAACAAGCCAAUAGCAGAAUGUCUAUAAGCAGUCAGUUUUCUUGCUUUUUUUCACAACACUUGCGAGGUGGAAAUUGUUCCUUUUCACCCAACACACUUUUCAAUUUCAUCUGCAGCAUGAGGGAAAACGCUUUUAUUUUGAUGACAAACCUCUCAGUGUGUGGCCACAGAACCAUAAACAAAUCAAUCAGUCUCUCAGUGUGGAGUCUGCCAGCAUGGCUACCUGAAGGUGGCCUCGGCCACUUUGGAGGUUCCAAAGGAAAACUCAUCUUUUAUUCUCCUUUUGGGAUAUUUAUUUUGUAUCUUUUUCCAAAACCUAUUUGAAUUUAGUUUUACCUCCCUCUCCACAGGUUAAAAUUCUCAUUAUAAAUGUGAUUUAUGGUUGUUACUGUCAUUGUGGUUGUUGCCUUUACAACCUCUUUCUAGAGGCUCUUUGCUUGCUCUUUGAGUUUUUACAUCAAUAUGCCUGCUUCAAUUUCCCUUUCCUGUUUUGUGGUUGCCCAAAACAUUCUGGAUGGUGGAGGAUAAAGCACAUUCCCCAAAUAAAUGUUUGUGUCGUAGCUCUCACUAGGGCUCUGCUGUAUUUAAUAUGAUAUCCCCAUUUAGUGUCUACAAAAGUGAAUGACUUUCCAGAGAACGUCCAGGGUGGGAGAAAGAACUCUUGUCUGCUUGAGGCAAGUGUGAAUGUUGCAAUUGAUUAGCAUUGAAUAGCUUUGCAGCUUCAAAGCCUAGCUGCUUCCUGCUUGGGAAAUCCUAAAAUCAGGACAGUAAAUAAAGAACAACACUCAGAAGGCAGGGGAAUUCCAGAUAAAAAACAAUCAGAGCCAGCUAACACCUCCUAACAAAGGAUUUCCACAGGCAGGUAGCAGCCAGGCUUUGAAGAUGCAAGGCUAUUCAGUGCUAAUCAAGAUGGCCAGUUGCAACAUUCACACUUGCCUCCAACAGACAAGAGUUCUUUCUCCCACCCUGGACAUUAUUCCACAGAUAUAUAAACCCCACUUGCCUAGUUUCCAACAGAUCUCACAACCCCCGAGGAUGCCUGUCCUAGAUGUGGAUGAAACGUCAGGAGAGAAUGCUUCUGAAACAUGGCCAUACAGCCCGGAAAAGUCACAGCAACCACUAACAAUUUAAUCUUGCUUCAUCUCCCAGAAGGAAACACUAGUAGAUCAGAGCAUCUGAAGGAGUAUAAUCAAGUGGAAAUGUAACAUUUAUAAUAACUAUUAUUAUGCUUGAUUAUAUGGUCAUUUUUCUUGGAAGCGAAGAGGUAUUAAAGUGUGUAUCAUGUACUUCGUGACAGGCGGAGUUCUAGAAUGCCUACCUGCCCUUUUGUUUCAUUUCUCUGAUCUUUCUAUGAUGGAUGCACUCAAGGCUUUUUGCUUCCUGCCUGCCUGCAGAGGCCUCUUCCCUUUUCUUUCCAAACAUUAGUCUUCUUACAUCUUUUUGCAGGGAGAGGGAGCAUCUAUCUUCUAUUCUAUCCCAGGUCCCUUCCACCCAGCUAAAUAAAAUCCCACAUUGUCUGCGUUGAACUGGAAUAUAUAGCAGUGUGGACUCAGAUAACCUAUUUCAAAGCAGAUAUUGUGAGAUUAUAUGGCUGUGUGGAAGGGCACACAGCCAUAUAAUUCCUGAAACAAUAAAUGUAGGUAUUACCCUUCUUUUAAUCUUACAAACGCAUCCUCUCCUGUGUUCUGUCACACGCUCAUGUUGCACUGGCUCCCACAAACCUUGAUAUAGCUAACUACCAAAUAUUCCCACCAUAAAUACACAUAGCUAUUAGAGAAAAUAGAUCAAUUAUAUAGCAAUAUGUAAAUACCCUAAAGGUAUUGAUCUUGAAAGUUGAACAGGGUCACUUCUGGUAAACACUUGGAUGGGAGACCAUUUACAAAUACCAGGUGCUGUAGGAAGGCAUGGAAAAAACCACUUCUGAGUACUUCUUGUUUUUUUUUUCUCAUGUCAGGAGCGACUUGAGAAACUGAAAGCCGCUUCUGAUGUGAGAGAAUUGGCUGUUUGCAAGGACGUUGCCCAGGGGACACCUGGAUGUUUUGAUGUUUUUACCAUCCUUGUGGGAGGCUGCUCUCAUGUCCCCGCAUGGAGCUGGAGCUGAUAGAGGGAGCUCAUCCCCGCUCUCCCCGGGUUGGAUUUGAACUGGGAAUCUUCAGGAUACGCAUGGCCUCUGCCUGGAAAUCUCUGUGCUAUGUGGAUAUAUUUAGAUGUGCUUCUCUCCACUGCUUCCAUUAUGCAUCUCUGCGCUAUCUCCCUGGAUCGCUAUAUUGCCAUAAGAAGGCCCAUCCAUCA